rnacentral:rRNA from 1 species
CCUACGGGAGGCAGCAGUGAGGAAUAUUGGUCAAUGGACGCAAGUCUGAACCAGCCAUGCCGCGUGCAGGAAGACGGCUCUAUGAGUUGUAAACUGCUUUUGUACGAGGGUAAAUCCCGAUACGUGUAUCGGGUUGAAAGUAUCGUACGAAUAAGGAUCGGCUAACUCCGUGCCAGCAGCCGCGGUAAUACGGAGGAUUGAAGCGUUAUCCGGAUUGAUUGGGUUUAAAGGGUGCGUAGGCGGUGCGAUAAGUUAGAGGUGAAAGCCCGGGGCUGAACUCCGGCACUGCCUCUGAUACUGUCGGGCUAGAGUUUAGUUGCGGGAGGCGGAAUGUAUGGUGUAGCGGUGAAAUGCAUAGAGAUCAUACAGAACACCGAUUGCGAAGGCAGCUUACCAAACUACGACUGACGUUGAGGCACGAAAGCGUGGGGAGCAAACAGGAUUAGAUACCCCAGUAGUC